rnacentral:rRNA from 1 species
AACGGCAGCACAGCAGUAGCAAUACUGUGGGUGGCGAGUGGCGGACGGGUGAGGAAUACAUCGGGAUCUACCUUUUCGUGGGGGAUAACGUAGGGAAACUUACGCUAAUACCGCAUACGCCCUACGGGGGAAAGCGGCGGACCGCAAGGCGUCGCGCGAUGAGAUGAACCGAUGUCCGAUUAGCUAGUUGGCGGGGUAAAGGCCCACCAAGGCGACGAUCGGUAGCUGAUCUGAGAGGAUGAUCAGCCACACUGGAACUGAGACACGGUCCAGACUCCUACGGGAGGCAGCAGUGGGGAAUAUUGGACAAUGGGCGCAAGCCUGAUCCAGCCAUGCCGCGUGGGUGAAGAAGGCCUUCGGGUUGUAAAGCCCUUUUGUCCGGAAAGAAAAGCACGGGAUUAAUACCCUCGUGUGAUGACGGUACCGGAAGAAUAAGCACCGGCUAACUUCGUGCCAGCAGCCGCGGUAAUACGAAGGGUGCAAGCGUUACUCGGAAUUACUGGGCGUAAAGCGUGCGUAGGUGGUUUGUUAAGUCUGUCGUGAAAUCCCCGGGCUCAACCUGGGAAUGGCGAUGGAUACUGGCAAGCUAGAGUGAGGUAGAGGAGAGUGGAAUUCCCGGUGUAGCAGUGAAAUGCGUAGAGAUCGGGAGGAACAUCAGUUGCGAAGGCGGCUCUCUGGACCAUCACUGACACUGAGGCAC